rnacentral:rRNA from 1 species
GAUGAACGCUGGCGGCGUGCCUAAUACAUGCAAGUCGAGCGAACAGACGAGGAGCUUGCUCCUCUGACGUUAUCGGCGGACGUGUGAGUAACACGUGGAUAACCUACCUAUAAGACUGGGAUAACUUCGGGAAACCGGAGCUAAUACCGGAUAAUAUAUUGAACCGCAUGGUUCAAUAGUGAAAGACGGUUUUGCUGUCACUUAUAGAUGGAUCCGCGCCGCAUUAGCUAGUUGGUAAGGUAACGGCUUACCAAGGCAACGAUGCGUAGCCGACCUGAGAGGGUGAUCGGCCAAACUGGAAGUGAGACACGGUAAAGAGGACUACGGGAGGCAGCAGUAGGGAAUGUGACGAAAGGGGCGAAAGCAUGACGGAGCAACGCCGCGUGAGUGAUGAAGGUCUUCGGAUCGUAAAACUCUGUUAUUAGGGAAGAACAAAUGUGUAAGUAAAUAUGCACGUCUUGACGGUACCUAAUCAGAAAGCCACGGCUAACUACGUG